GACGUAGGGCGCGAGCGUUGUCCGGAUUUAUUGGGCGUAAAGAGCUCGUAGGCGGCUUGUCGCGUCAACUGUGAAAACCCGUGGCUCAACCAUGUGGUCUGCAGUCGAUACGGGCAGGCUAGAAUUCGGUAGGGGAGACUGGAAUUCCUGGUGUAGCGGUGAAAUGCGUAGAUAUCGGGAGGAACACCAGUGGCGAAGGCGGCUCUCUGGGCCUUUCCUGACGCUGAGACGCGAAAGCGUGGGGAGCGAACCGG
rnacentral:rRNA from 1 species